UUAGUAACUUGUACAGGUUUUAAGAGAAAAGCCAACAGGAUUUAGUGGAAGAGAAGAAACUGUGAAAAUUAACAAGCAGGUCGUCGACGUUGGCAAAAAACUGUUUUGUUGAACGGAGAGGACGUGACAGAGACAAGGAAAGAGAAAGAUAUAGGCUAAUGUAAAAGACCAGUGGUCAAGUAAGAACUCCCUACAAGACACAGAGAACCACAAGUUUACUUUUGCCUGUGAAACAAUCUUAGGGAGAAGAAAAUUCUGGAACAAGGUAAA
rnacentral:sRNA from 1 species